rnacentral:rRNA from 1 species
UCGCCUGUUUUACAAAAACAUGGCUCCUCGGAUGAGUUGUAUAUGGGGAGUCGGACCUGCCCGGUGACUAGUAUGUUAAACGGCCGCGGUACCCUAACCGUGCAAAGGUAGCAUAAUCAUUUGCCUUUUAAUUGGAGGCUUGUAUGAAUGGUUUGACGAGAGCUAAGCUGUCUCUUUUGAAAUAUUUAGAAAUUAACUUUUAGGUGAAGAGGCCUAAAUUUUGUUGAGGGACAAGAAGACCCUGUUGAGCUUUAGUGGCGUGUUAAAAUUAUUGAUUUGAUUUGAAUCUUUGGAUUUUGGUUCAUAUAUUUAGGUAGAAUGGUUUUUUAGCAUAAAUCUUUAGUUGGGGCGACUGAGGAACAUUUAAAGCUUCCUUUAAACUUAGAAUUGUGUAUUGUGCACAGUUGCUUUAAUUGCGGACGAGCUACGGAUUUGGAUCCAGUAAAGGAUACUGAUUAAAGGAAAAAGUUACCACAGGGAUAACAGCGUAAUCUUUCUGGAGAGAUCUUAUCGAAAGAAGGGUUUGCGACCUCGAUGUUGGACUAAGAUAUC